rnacentral:lncRNA from 1 species
CCCAGAACCAAGAUAUCUAGUUGAAUAUGACAAUACUCUUUAAGCAUAUUUUCUCUAAUAAUAAUUUUUUUAAUAAAAAAAUAUGGCAUUCUUGGUCUGUUUAAAGAGAUCAAUGGUAUGCCACCCCAAUAAUUUCAUUUUUGGAUAAGGAGUGUACUGUGCAUAGGUUUUGCAAGACUUAGAUGAUAUAGGAUGCUAGGGUUUAAAGCUGUGUCGAAUAAUGUAGGCCAAAGGGAGAAAGGUUUCUUAGGGUUUUGAAGUUUCCAGGCAUUCUCUUUCUCACUAGAGGUUAAUGGACAGACUAUGCUAGGGUUCUAGUUUAUGGAGGAAAGGUGAUAUGCCAAAAUCUUCUAGUUUUUCAGCAGUAAUUAAGGAUAGGGAAUAUCUUUAAGAAUUUUAUUGGUUUACAGUAAGGCCAUAAAGGUUUCAAGUGACCCGAUAGGGUUCCUAUGGGAUUGAAGAAGAGUGUUGCAGGGCUAAGUAAUUCUAAAUAUAUGAUCAGGUCUGAGUAUGGAACAAAUUUAGAUGAGUUUAUAUCAAAUGUCAUUGCAGCAAUGGACAUACAUUUUUGAUCUGAGAUAACUUGUCUUGUUUCAUCUGAUUUAACAGCUCUAAGGAAAAUAUUCCAUGGUAAAAACAGAAGUUACUAAGUAGAAUAAAGAAGAAGAAAGAUAAAGAAGAGAAUGGAAGAGAAGUUAAAGAGGAGAAAAAUAUAAUGGAGAAGAGAGAGAAUGAUAGAGAAGAG